ensembl:lncRNA
CUGAGCAGGCAGGAUUUUACUUGAAGUUCUCAUACAACUUAUUAGAAAAGUAGUGGCUGGAAGAUAGAGGCAACAAGAUACAACAUCAGCACUACUAAUCGUUGUUACAUCUUUAGCGUAGGAAGUUACCAGCAGAAAUUCUGAGCCAGGACACUGCACAUCCUCUCCGUUUUUGGUUUUUUUUUUUUGUAUUUGAUACAUAAUCUACCACUCUCUACUUCCACCAUGAGGUCUGUAGGAAAACAAAUGUUUACAAGGAAGAUAAAAAGUUCAAACAAGAUGCCAUCUGUAUUCGCACCAACUUCCUAGAAACCAGCUUUAAUGACACAGAGAAGCUGCUAGAGAUAGGCUUAAUUUUUUGUUACAUUUGUUUUGUACGUUCAAGAUCAUUUGAUGUGCUGUGUUAUAUACAAGAAAAUUCCCUGCAACACCUGUAUGUUAGUGAGCUUGGAGAAGAGAAAUCUCUGGGGAGAUCUCUUUGAGGUCUUCCAGUACUUGAAGGGAGCAUAUAAACAGGAGAGGGAACGGCUGUUUACAAGGGUGGACAGUGAUAGGACAAGGGGGAACAGUUUUAAACUGAGACAGGGGAUGUUUAGGUCAGAUAUUAGGAGGAAGUUUUUCACACAGAGGGUGGUGACACACUGGAACAGGUUGCCCAAGGAGGCUGUGGAUGCCCCAUCCCUGGAGGCAUUCAAGGCCAGGCUGGAUGUGGCUCUGGACAGCCUGGUCUGGUGGUUGGUGACCCUGCACAUAGCAGGGGGGUUGAAACUUGAUGAUCAUUGUGGUCUUUUUCAACCCAGGCCGUUCUGUCAUUCAUUCUAUGAGCUCAGGUAAAGGCAAAUGUGGUAUCCCAGCCAGGUGGCCAUGGCUUUCUCACACUUGCAGCUCGGUCUCAGUUCUUGGGGCUGCAAUGAAUGGGGAUUGCAGCAGAGCAGAGGGAGGAGCAGAAGGCCUGCUUCCACCUGGAGCUGCUGUUCAUAAGCCUCCUGCUAUCAGACAGGCAAUCCCAGUGCUUACAGGGAUCGCCCAUGAGAGGCUUCCUGAUGAAGGCACAAAUACAUAGCUUAUUCUUGAUCUUGAGAAAGGAAGAAAAAAAAAAGGGGGGGGGGGGGGGGAGCCUUCAGAGAAAUAAAGAAAGGAAUCAUAAUUAUUACAAAAUGCUUGAAAGGAUUUUUCUUUUACAAGUCUUUACAGGGGUUUAAGGCCAGCAGGCUGCAGAUUUCCCAGAGCAAGGAGAAGCAGUUAGAACAAGAAAAGGAUCAGUGUAGGUGGGCCUUGGGUCACUGUCAGGCAGAAAACAGUUACACUCAGAAUUUCUCCAGCACCAAAGACAGCCACACGUCAAAUGCUUUAUACUGCCCUAGGUCUUCUUUUUUAUUACUUUUUCAUGCAAAGGCACAACGGCAUCAUAAAAGUUACCAUCAAAGGCAGUAAGUCCUUAAACUUUCAUACCAAGCCUUAGAAACAAUUCUUUGAAACACACAGACCUCCAGUACACAAGGAAAAAGAAAAAAAAAAAAGUAGUGUAAAACUUACAGGCAGUAAGUAUUUAUUUUAAAUCCUUGCUGUUAUCUCUCCAAGUCGAAAUGCCAUAAAACUCCAAGAGCUGAAACUUCUGUGAGGAUUCAAAACGUAUCCCUUACCUCAUACGUUUUACUACACAUUCUUACCUCUUUUAAAAACGAAAUCCCAGAUUCUGUGCUCAGCAGAAGCGAGGCGAUUGCUUCACCAGGAUCAGAUAUGGCAAAGCAAAACAAACAAGUGAACCUGGGGCUGAGCGCUGUCCGCAUCGGUUCCAUCCGCAGCGCUCCACUCGGUGCCGCCCGGCAGUCACACACAUGGUAGUUUUUGCAAGAUCACGGCCUUGUUUUAGUAUAACACAAUCAAGAUAAUUUUUACAAGGUCAGAAAGUUGGAAUAAGAGGAAACAAAAUCCAGGCCGGUUGGGUCUGGAAUCAAUUAGGCCUAUGUGCUUCUCAGAUGCUGCCGCUUGUCUCGCCAUCAGGGAGUUUUCCAAUGCAUAAAUACUAUCGGCGCGUACCUAGAAACACACAACCUCUAUAUUUCUCCACUCGCUUACACCCACCUGAGCCGGGAUGUCGGGAGGAGAUGGAGAGGUGUUCAGCUGUGUGCAGUCACUCCAAGCUCUCAGGUGCCGUGCUCCAGAGCCCGCUGUCCCACCAUGCCCUCGUGGGCUCGGCCUGCCUGUGGGCGCAGCGCUCCCCAGGGCGCUCCCCAGGCCAAUGCCGCUUCACCUGCUGUCAACUCUGAGCACCUCCUCGAGUUUAAAGAUGCAGGCCAACGAGGCCACUUCAUGUCUGUAAGAUGAAACUGUGCUGCUCUCAGCUUUAUAGUUAGCAACAAACCGUCCAUGGAAAGCUUUCACGGAAGGUGACUUGAUGGGAAAUUACCAUUUUCUCCACAUUUUUCCCCUCUAUGAGAGGCCACUCUGGCUCACAGUGAGCAAAGUCAGUGUCAGUACAGAGCAUGUGCGGGGGGGUACGAUCCUGACAGUUUUUGGUACAUUCACAAGCAAAGCGUUGGACGAUUAACACCUUUACUCAUUAAAAUAUUUACAGACAUAGAAUUGGGCUGUCCAGCCACCUCAGGACCACAACAUUUAACUUCGCUGCUUCUGUUCCCACGCGAAGCCGAACUGCUGCCGGAGAUGGGCACCACGAAGCCCCGCACCUGGCCCGCUGCCGCCCGCGGUGCCGCCGGG